GACGAACGCUGGCGGCGUGCUUAACACAUGCAAGUCGAACGAUGACGACCGAGCUUGCUCGGUCUGAUUAGUGGCGAACGGGUGAGUAACACAUGAGCAACCUGCCCUUCACUCUGGGAUAACCUCGGGAAAUCGGGGCUAAUACCGGAUAUGAGCUCCUGUCGCAUGGCGGGUGUUGGAAAGUUUUUCGGUGAAGGAUGGGCUCGCGGCCUAUCAGUUUGUUGGUGAGGUAGUGGCUCACCAAGGCGAUGACGGGUAGCCGGCCUGAGAGGGCGACCGGCCACACUGGGACUGAGACACGGCCCAGACUCCUACGGGAGGCAGCAGUGGGGAAUAUUGCACAAUGGGCGAAAGCCUGAUGCAGCGACGCCGCGUGAGGGAUGACGGCCUUCGGGUUGUAAACCUCUUUCAGCAGGGAAGAAGCGAAAGUGACGGUACCUGCAGAAGAAGCGCCGGCUAACUACGUG
rnacentral:rRNA from 1 species